rnacentral:rRNA from 1 species
UACAGAGGGUGCAAGCGUUAAUCGGAAUUACUGGGCGUAAAGCGUGCGUAGGUGGUUUGAUAAGUCAGGUGUGAAAUCCCAGAGCUUAACUUUGGAAUUGCGCUUGAUACUGUCAGGCUAGAGUAUUGUAGAGGAUAGUGGAAUUUCCGGUGUAGCAGUGAAAUGCGUAGAGAUCGGAAGGAACACCAGUGGCGAAGGCGACUAUCUGGGCAAAUACUGACACUGAUGCACGAAAGCAUGGGGAGCGAACAGG